rnacentral:rRNA from 1 species
AGACAUGCAAGUCGAACGCGAAAGCCUCCUUCGGGGGGCAAGUAGAGUGGCGCACGGGUGAGUAACACGUAGGUAAUCUACCUUUGGAUUGGGAAUAACCACCGGAAACGGUGGCUAAUACCGAAUAAUGCAGCGGCACCUAAUGGUGACAGUUGUUAAAGCGGGGGAUCGCAAGACCUCGCGUCUGAAGAGGAGCCUGCGGCAGAUUAGCUAGUUGGUAAGGUAACGGCUUACCAAGGCGAUGAUCUGUAGCCGGCCUGAGAGGGCGGUCGGCCACACUGACACUGACAUACGGGUCAGACUCCUACGGGAGGCAGCAGUCGGGAAUUUUGGGCAAUGGGCGAAAGCCUGACCCAGCAACGCCGCGUGAAGGAUGAAAUCCCUCGGGAUGUAAACUUCGCAAGAACGGGAAGAAUAAGUAAGGGUUAAUAUCUCUUACGAUGACGGUACUGUUUGUAAGCUCCGGCUAACUCCGUGCCAGCAGCCGCGGUAAUACGGGGGGAGCAAGCGUUGUUCGGAUUUACUGGGCGUAAAGGGCGCGUAGGCGGCCACCGCAAGUCGACUGUGAAAUCUCCGGGCUUAACCCGGAAAGGUCAGCCGAUACUGCGGGGCUAGAGUGCAGAAGGGGCAACUGGAAUUCUCGGUGUAGCGGUGAAAUGCGUAGAUAUCGAGAGGAACACCUGCGGCGAAGGCGGGUUGCUGGGCUGACACUGACGCUGAGGCGCGAAAGCUAGGGGAGCGAACGGGAUUAGAUACCCCGGUAGUCCUAGCCUUAAACGAUGAAUGCUUGGUGUCUGGGGUUUUAUAGUCCCCGGGUGCCGUCGCUAACGCUUUAAGCAUUCCGCCUGGGGAGUACGGUCGCAAGACUGAAACUCAAAGGAAUUGACGGGGACCCGCACAAGCGGUGGAGCAUGUGGUUUAAUUCGACGCAAC